rnacentral:lncRNA from 1 species
AAUAAUAACAAAUUUCUUUCUAUCUUUUGCUUUGCAGAAAAAAUGCCUCAGGAAGCUACUGCACUAGCUAAUGGGAUUGCCUGCUGGAUGCCCUAAAUUUUCCCUAAUGAAUAUCUCAAGAAGGAGGUUCAAUUAUUGGAUUUCUUUCUACAGCGAAUCCCAAGACAAAAUACAUAAAGGAGAAAUUAGAGUGAAAAGAUCACUCACAAUACACGUAUAGAAUGUAGCCCAAGGUGAUGAUUUGUUUUUAAAAAUCUUUUAGCAUCUUACCUACUUUUGUACUAGAGUUCUGGUGGGGAGCAGGGGAGGCGGGAGACAAAUCUCUGCAACAGAACUUGGGUUCUCUCAGGUUGCCAGGCAAUGGGUUUAGGCAAUAAGACGACACUAGAUGGCGCUCACAAUAUCAAAACAGAGUGAAAGGUCAAUUCCGUGUUCCGCGUAGGCAAGAACGUGUGGGAAACGGUCUGUUAAGGGAACUGAAAAAAUACUUAAGUACUUCCCACUACUGGUAUCCUGUGAGGUACUCCUUAUAUAAGGUUUAGGCAGUCAAAUACGUUUAGGAAAGCAAUAUACAUUCUUUGCCUCCUAGAGAUUCUCAAUGAACACUGAUAAAAAGAUGAGUUCAGGAAAUUCUUCAAUGAAGAAAUUUGCCCCCAAGGAACCCCUUACAUUAGCAACAUACUACAAUCAAUUCUGCUGUUUCAGGGUUCUAUGAAACAUAUUUCUGGAAAUGUUGAUCAAGUCCAAGACCUGUUCCAGCAUCCACAGAUCUGCAAGCUCAUGAGUGUGCAGAGGUCUGCAUGUGGGAGACAGAAACACAGAAGCCAAAGCCACGCAUGCAGAAUGCUAGACAUUCUCUGUACUCAGGUCAAUUAGCUGUGCUCACUAGCUAGGUAAAUUGAGCUUGUGUGUGAGAGUGUGUAUGCGUGUGUGUGUGAAAGAGAGACAGACAGACUUGAGACAGACAGAGACAGCGGGAUGCAAAGAGAAAGAGAUGUUCAUUUGUUUAAGGAUUAAAAUAAUGGCUAAUAAUUAUCAAGACACUUAGAAAAUUCUAUUUAUAAAUCAUAGCUAUAAAAUGAAAGCAAUGUCUCCUGAGUCUAUCAUAAAAAUCAUAAACUAUGUCCUUCAUCAAGCUAUGAACCCAUUUCUGCCUUACAAACCGGGCUCCUUAUGUAAUUCUCUAUUAUUAUUUGCAUGAUUACCAAAAUUCUAAAUAUGGGUAUAAAACCCAGAGAUUGAUUUAACUAUCUAUUAUAUCAAGAAGGUAGCAUGCCUUAGGAGAAAGAAACAGUCAACAAAUAUUUGAAUAAGUAAAAGGAAACAUAGAAAGAAAAAUAUAAGGAAAAACAGAAACCCUUCUGUUUUUUGAAAGGGAAGAGGGGAGGGAGACCUUUGGGUGGAUGGGGCAUUAAAGUUGAACAUUUAAAUCUCAGCUUUGGCUUUAUUAGCAAACUUGUUAAUAUUUUUAUUUAUUUUUUAUUAACAUGCAUUAGUUGUACAUAUUAACUAGUCAGGUAAACUGUGACAAAUUAGCUGCUUUUUUAGAACCUUAUUCUCUUUUUUUUUGGUAUUGGGGAUCAAACUCUGGUCUUUGCAUUUGUGAGACAGCUGCGGUGCCACGGAGCUAAAUCCCCAGACCUGAACCUUAUUCUUUUAACUUGAAAAUGGGACAAUAUAUUUCAGGGUGACUGUGAGAGUUAAAAAUUACUUUUAUAGUUGUGCAAAAUGAAUACCAUGGAAUGCAGCAUCUAUAAUUAACAAUAGUGCAUUGUAUACUCAUAAUUUUGUUAAAAGAUUAGAUGUUAUAUAAAUAUUCUUUUUUUCUCAUUGAAUUUAUUGGUACUUUUUAAGUGUACAGUACAGUUACAUUUAUCAUUAGGAUCUUGUACCUUUACAUGACUAGAGGGUCCAUUUGUCCCAGCCAUCCCUCUGGUGGGUAUCUUCCCAAAAGAAUUAAAAGAAUCAUACCACAGCGAUAUGUGUGCACCCAUGUUUAUAGCGGCACAGUUUGUAAUAGCUGAAACUUGGAAACAGCCCAUUUGCCCAUCAGUUGGAAACUGGAUAAAGAUGUAGUUUUUCUAUAAAACGGAGUACUACUUAGCCAUAAAGACUGUAAAAUUCUUAACACACACAAUAACAAAUUAAGAGGGCCAGGGGCAACUUUUUUUUUUUCUGAUCCCAGAUAUCAGACUCAGGUCCUUGCAUUUGUGAGGCAGGCACUGGAACCACUGAGCUAAAUACCAGCCCCAAGGGAAACUUUUAGAGGUGA